rnacentral:tRNA from 1 species
GUCAGUGUGGUGUAGUGGUUAGUGUUUCUGACUUGGAUUCAGAAGCCUUAAGUUUAAACCUCCACUCUGGCA